rnacentral:rRNA from 1 species
GACGAGCCACACGAACGUUAUUCGGAAUCACUGGGCUUAAAGGGUGCGUAGGCGGCGCGGAAAGUAGGGUGUGAAAUCCCUCGGCUCAACCGAGGAACUGCGCUCUAAACUACCGUGCUCGAGGGAGACAGAGGUGAGCGGAACUUAGGGUGGAGCGGUGAAAUGCGUUGAUAUCCUAAGGAACACCGGUGGCGAAAGCGGCUCACUGGGUCUUCACUGACGCUGAGGCACGAAAGCUAGGGUAGCGAACGGG